GGGAGGGGCACACCGCGUGAGGAUCCUCGUCUCCCACGUUAACCCCUGGGAGCAUCCGGUGCACAGGGACACUAAACAACCAGGUGGACGGGAUGACCCUGCCAGCCUUUGUCCUGGGCGGCCACCGCACUUGGGCCACAGGCUCAUGAAGUGGAACAGUUACGGUGGCAGAGCUGGACGCCACUCCUGGGCCCGAGAGAAGGUGUUUCUACUCAUCGAGGCUGCUGUGGUUGCUGCACCUCUGCGUGUCUGACCUGUCAGCUACUGAGGCCGACUCUAAGCUCCCGAGAUGGUACCAUCCCCUUGAGGCGGCCAACCAGCCAGGCACUUGGUGGCAAGUUAAUUUCAUUGGACCCCCUUCCAUCUUGGAAAAGGCAGGGACGUGGUAAGGGUUCCACCCAACUUCAAGCUGCCGUUCUGCCUGUCUCUCUGGGCCCCCGUGCCAGUGGCGCAGCAGGCACAGAAAGGCGACUCCAUGCGGGCAGGAUGCGAGGUCCCGGCCAUCAUGAGGAACCAGUGCUGCUGGAUGGUGGGGACAGGGAGGGUGUGACGGGCACUCAGGUGUCCACCCAGCGAUUGUGACCAAGUGUGCUGGAGAAGAUGUGCCUGGAUGGAGGAGUGGAUGCACGAAGCAGGUGCGCCUGAGUGAUGGAAGGGGUGAGCUGCAGUCGAUGCCCCAUCCAGAUCCUGGUCCCCGGCCGGCGCACACGUCCGUCGGCAGCAGCGAGAGCGGCUGCUAGUGGCUCAUUGCUUCCCCUCCUCUCUGCACAGCUGACCUCAGCUAACGGCGCUGCCCGCCCUGGGAAGUUCUGCUCCGUCCCUGCCCCGUGGCGGCCCACAGCCAUGGCUGGUUAAAAAAGGGUUCCAGGGGCCAGCCCCAUUGCUCCAGCUUGGCAUAACUCGGUAGUGCCCGUUUUCUCUGGAACCUCUCCCUUGGGUCAGAGCCAGGCUGCCCUUAGCCGGACCCACACACCCUGCUCUGCCCUGUCCCCUGCCCUCACUCCCCUCGGCUUUCGUGUGGCUUGCUCCCUGAUAAGUUACUGUCCUCCGCUCUCUGCCUCAGUCUUAUCUGGUAUGGGGUUUCCUUUUGGGUAAUGAUGGAAAGUCACAUUAUUAUCUGGUCUUGGGGGGAAUAAUUACCUAAGCAAGACUGUCCUUGGAUCUAGAAGUGGGGAGAUUGGUUACUUUAUCUAAGAGCCACAGCCCCGCCUGAGAUGUUUAUCUCAGGGGGCAGAGAGAAAGGAGCCGACAGAGGCUGUGCUCCUGCGUCUUGUGCUCCGCGGCGGCGACACGGGGGUAUUGAUCUCCUUCUGGAACCCUCCAUGCAGUUUCCGUGACUGCCUCUUUCUCCUCAUUAAUGUAACACCUACUUUCUUUCUUGUGCCCACUACCCUCUAAAUGUCUCCCCACUUUCUAAACCCCGGGUUUCUCUGCAAGUUUCCCUUCCUUGAUGACAAGUGUGACUUCUGGAGAAGAUUCACCUUCUGGGAAUCCAGGGGUUUCUCCCGGCCCACGUGGACGGGGAGACGGGAUACAGAGUGUUGGGAGGUGAGAAGCAAGAAGGAACGUUCUGGAAACAUUAUCACCGCUCAGCCCUCAGUCCGACCCGCCUUCCCCAGGAGGCCCUGAGCUCUCCUCACGGGCUCCUGCUUCAUCUUCUGUAUUUUCUCCUUAACACCUAAGACUUGACGUGAUCUCCGGUCUGUGCCUGUUUGUUUAUUAGCUGUUUCUUCCACUGGAAGUCGGCCCCAGUAUUCACUGAGCAAACGGACAACCCUUCCUGGGUCAAUACAUGUUAUCUGCCCCUUGCCUUUAAAAAAACAUGGGGUAAAAUAGCCAUGACAUAAAAUUUACCAUUUUGACCACUUUUAAGCAUACUGUUCGGUGGCAUUAAGCACAUUCAUGUUGUCGUGCAACCGUGACCACCGUCCACGUCCAGAGCGUUUCCGUCUUCCCCAGCUGAAGCUCUGGCCCCGUUAAACACUGACUCCCCAUCCCACUCCCUCCACCCCUGGCACCCGCCCCUGUUCUGCUUUCUGUCCCUAGGCACUUGACCCCUCUGGGGGCCUCGUGGAAGAGGAAUCAUACCGCACUUGUCUGUGUCUGGCUUCUUUCACUUAGCAGAAUGUCUUUCAGGUCACUCAAUGUGACACGUGUCAGAAUUUCCUCCCUUUUUUAAGGCUGAAUAAUAUUCCAUUGUCUGGAUAGGUCACACUUCAGCCUUUUCUUUUAAUGACUGAGUAGGAUAGCUUCAUUUAGUUGAAAAUUCUGUAUUGAGAGACAUUUAGCUUUCCUUUUUUAUUUUUCUAUCUACUAACGAUGCAGGAAAACAUACCCUUUAAUAUGUUUUUUAUAUACUCAUGCUAUGACUUCUGUAGGACACAUUUCUCAAAGUGGGAUGGCUGGGUCGUUGGGUAGAAGCAUUUCAAAUGUUUUUAGACACCAGCAAAUUGUUCUCCCGAAAUGUUAUACUAAUUUCUGCUUGCAGCAAAAGCAUUUGAGCGAGUCCUUUCUCUCACCCUAAGUUUCUAUCUUCUAAAAUGUUGCCAAUCUGGUAGAUAAAAUAUGAUUAGCUCAUUGUUUUUUUUUUCUUUGUUUUUAUUGAGGUAACAUUGGUUUAU
rnacentral:lncRNA from 1 species